rnacentral:rRNA from 1 species
UACAGAGGGUGCAAGCGUUGUUCGGAAUUACUGGGCGUAAAGCGCGUGUAGGCUGCGGAGUAAGUCGGAUGUGAAAUCCCUUGGCUUAACCAAGGAAGUGCAUCCGAUACUGUUUCGCUUGAGUGUCGGAGGGGGUGGCGGAAUUCCCGGUGUAGAGGUGAAAUUCGUAGAUAUCGGGAGGAACACCUGUGGCGAAGGCGGCCACCUGGACGACAACUGACGCUGAGACGCGAAAGCGUGGGUAGCAAACAGG